GACGAACGCUGGCGGCGUGCUUAACACAUGCAAGUCGAACGGAAAGGCCCUGCUUUUGUGGGGUGCUCGAGUGGCGAACGGGUGAGUAACACGUGAGUAACCUGCCCUUGACUUUGGGAUAACUUCAGGAAACUGGGGCUAAUACCGGAUAGGAGCUCCUGCUGCAUGGUGGGGGUUGGAAAGUUUCGGCGGUUGGGGAUGGACUCGCGGCUUUUCAGCUUGUUGGUGGGGUAGUGGCUUACCAAGGCUUUGACGGGUAGCCGGCCUGAGAGGGUGACCGGCCACAUUGGGACUGGGAUACGGCCCAGACUCCUACGGGAGGCAGCAGUGGGGAAUAUUGCACAAUGGGCGGAAGCCUGAUGCAGCAACGCCGCGUGCGGGAUGACGGCCUUCGGGUUGUAAACCGCUUUCGCCUGUGACGAAGCGUGAGUGACGGUAAUGGGUAAAGAAGCACCGGCUAACUACGUG
rnacentral:rRNA from 1 species